rnacentral:rRNA from 2 species
AACGAACGCUGGCGGCAAGCUUAACACAUGCAAGUCGAGCGCAUCCUUCGGGAUGAGCGGCAGACGGGUGAGUAACGCGUGGGAAUCUACCCUUUUCUACGGAAUAACGCAGGGAAACUUGUGCUAAUACCGGAUGUGCCCUUCGGGGGAAAGAUUUAUCGCCAAAGGAUUGGCCCGCGUCUGAUUAGCUAGUUGGUGAGGUAACGGCUCACCAAGGCGACGAUCAGUAGCUGGUCUGAGAGGAUGAUCAGCCACACUGGGACUGAGACACGGCCCAGACUCCUACGGGAGGCGGCAGUGGGGAAUAUUGGACAAUGGGCGCAAGCCUGAUCCAGCCAUGCCGCGUGAGUGAUGAAGGCCUUAGGGUUGUAAAGCUCUUUCACCGGGGAAGAUAAUGACGGUACCCGGAGAAGAAGCCCCGGCUAACUUCGUG